CCCUUAGAUGUUCUGGGCCGCACGCGCGCUACACUGAUACGUUCAUCGAGCUUACCACCUUGGUCGAGAGGCCUGGGUAAUCUUUUAAAAGCGUAUCGUGCUGGGGAUAGAUUAUUGCAAUUUUUAAUCUUCAACGAGGAAUUCCUAGUAGACGCAAGUCAUCAACUUGCAUCGAUUACGUCCCUGCCCUUUGUACACACCGCCCGUCGCUACUACCGAUUGAAUGGUCCGGUGAAAUCUCGGGACGGCGGCUUGGUCGCUUGCGUCCGACUGCUGAAACUUGAUUAAACCAUAUCAUUUAGAGGAAGGUGAAGUCGUAACA
rnacentral:rRNA from 1 species